UUGAGGAACUCCAGGCUAUUAUAAACUAUUUUAGGUUUCUCAUGCAGCAGAGGGUGCAAGAGAAAGGAGAGAGAGCAGAAGUAAAUGAAGAAAACAGAAUUCUGUCAACUGAGAAGAAGAAAAAUUUGUCUCAAAAAAAGACAGGGUCCUAGACAGAGAAAAAACAAACCCAAAACAUAAAAUCCUUUUAAAGACACACACACACACACACACACACACACACAUAUCGGAUGUUAGCUUUUAAUUAAGCUGACUUUUAACCAUUGAGCUCCUUUAAAAAAAUCUGUUUAAAUCUCAUUGCCAGCUCUAAUGGUAAGGAGAAAUUAAGACCAGCUGGUUGUUAAUCAUAACUGUAGCCAAGACAAACCCUAAUUCAGUUACUUAGGGAUGGGUUUCAUGCUGAAGACUGCCCUCUACCAUCCUAGAAGCAGGAAAAGACUCAAACCUGUCCUCCCUGUUGGAAGCAAGCUCAAAACUCCGUAAAGGAGUUACUUGCCUUCCAUUGUCACGGAAGCAGGAAAACUUGCCUUCCUUGUGUCGGAAGCAAGUAAAACUCAGAAACAAAAAAGGAGUUGUACAGCAAAAUAAACUUUAGAUCACCUCCAAAUUUUGGGAGAUCGGGGAUUCUCUGGAGGAGGUGCUUCCAGGCGUCAGCAAAUUGUCUGAUUGGUUUGAGGCACAAAGAUAGCUCAAGCUGGUACCAGCCACCAAUAGGAGAUUUGUCAAAGGUCAGGGGCACCUCCACUCAGAAUCCCUUGGUGGUUACCAAAAUGUGAACCCUGAAUAACUGAGACAGGUCUCAGUUAAUUUAGAAGGUUUAUUUUGCCAAGGUUGAGGACCCUGUGACACAGCCUCAGGAGGUCCUGAUGAUAUGUGCCCAAGGUGGUCCAAGCACAGGUUGGUUUUAUACAUUUUAGGGAGACAUGAGACAUCAGUAUAUGUAAGAUGUUCCUUGGUUCUGUUGGGAACGGCAGGACAACUUGAAGCAGGGAGGGGGCUUCGAGGUCCCAGGUAGGUGAGAGACAAACACUUGGAUUCUUUUGAGUUUCUGAUUAGCCUUUCCAAAGGAGGCAAUCAGAUACGCAUUUAUCUCAGUGAGCGGAGGGAUGGCUUUGAACAGAAUGAGAGGCAGGUUUGCCCUAAGCAGUUCCCAGCUUGACUUUUCCCUUUAGCUUAGUGAUUUCUGGGGCCCCAAGAUUUAUUUUCCUUUCACAGGGGCCAUGUUAUGUAGAAGCCAGGCUGAGAAGGAAUCUGAUUCCUUAUAUUGGUUAUAUUUUUUUCUGAAAUAAAUGUUAGCUUUUAUUUUCCCUCCAAGCUGCAAGAGCCAUUGAACUCUGACUUCUGUGCUUCUCACAUUUAAAGCCUCCUGAUUUGAGUACUUAGUACCUGCCAGACAUUAGCAGGUAGGAGUUACUAUUCCCACCUGACAGUCAAGGAAAGGCUCAGAGAGGUUCUGUAACUGGGCUGGGGCCACAGAGCUAGUAGAUGAUAGAGCUAGGAUUCAAACCCAGAUCUGCCUAACUUCAGAUCAAGGUUAGUGGUGCUGUUUCCACACCACCCUAAAUGGCCUACUUAAUAAUGAAAUUUAUGAUGCCAGCUGAUGAUAAGAAUCACUGGGUGUUAAGAUUCUUGGUUGCUAAUGAACUUGAAUUAGCUCAAACAAUAAAGAUGAUUUUUUUUUUUGUAUCAGCUAACCAAACCCCAGGAAGGAUAGAAAUACAGCUGGCCUGAUGGAUAAUUGUAUCCAGGG
rnacentral:lncRNA from 1 species